GGGCCAGAGGAGGCAGCACCAUGGAGAAGAAUAAUCCAAGGGCUUCUCUCAGUUCCUCACAGAGACACGCUUCAUCAUAGGCACCAUACAUGGGCAGGUGGGAAUGCUGUUAGCCUCCAGACAACUCUUGCACAGCCAUGGAUGGCAAUACUGCCUGUGCAGCACAGCCGUGGAUGGAUGGCAACACUGCGAGGAAAACUCAGGAGCCUCACGAUUCAGAAUCCUGUAUUGUGGAACCUAACAGCAUGUAAAAAAUUGCAGGAUAGUGUGAGUUUGAAGGAACCCGCAAGGAUCAUGGAGUCCAGCCCCUGGCCCUACACAGGGCACCCUAAGGGUCACACCAUGAGCCCAGGAGAG